rnacentral:tRNA from 1 species
GAAGGAAUGCUGGUUUUGGAGUAGGAUUUGAACCUAUAUUACAUAGGUUCAAAUCCUACUUCUGUCA